ACCUCUACAAGUGUGUCUUUAUUUUUCUCUCUCUUGAAGUAAAUAAACGAAUUUACUGAGCAUACUGUGACUCUUUGGUUUUUAGAAGAACAGUUUAACUGUUCCUCUCUAGUUAAGGAUUGACAAUAAUUGGUGGCACAGCAGUAGGUUUGGAAAGUAGAAGUCCCUCCUAUUCUUCAGGAUCCAGUUCAGUAUGGCUCCUACAGAGAGGCCUUUGCCUCAACUCAGGUUGGGCCCCUGCAGGAAGUGGAGAUUGAAUUCCUGGUGUUAUAACUGAAGAGGAAACUAGUGUCCAUCUCUUCCUGGGAAAGCCUUGGUUUUGGGUUAAGGUCUGCCAAAGGAAUAUGACAGCAGAGCAUAUGCAUUUGGUUUAUGGCCUCCCAGGAGACCUUCAUUAGGAGAUGUCAAUAGGUGAAGAGAGUGGAACCUCUGACCUCAAGAACUUCAAAAGAUCAAGUCAUCAUGCCACAGGAAACUGGGAGUUACAUUACAGGCCUGGUUUGGCAGCCACUGCAAUAAUGAGUCCCAAGGAGCAAACUUUCAGAGCCCAGCAGUAGUUGAGACCAAGAUUCAUUCAGAAGAGAUGGCCUCUUUGGACAAGACUUUUCAGAACUGAUGUUACAUAGAAACUAAACUAAGUUUUGAGCCUGCUUUUUCCAGCGAGGUGAUAUAGGAAAGAAUAUGCUCCCUGAAGUGUAGAUGAGAAAUGAUAGUAUGUUUGUACUAUAUCUUUGAAAUAAAUACUCCUUUGUAAAAGUUA